UUUAAUUUUGCCCUUAAAAUGGGAAAAUCCCAAAAUUUACAUGUUUCAUUACUCUUAAUACAUAAGUUCUACCAAAGAUAAAACCCUAAAUAACCCACAUUUUCUCCCUUUCUUAUUCAUUUUGCCAAUCAAAACACUUACCAAAUUUUACUCAAUAAGAAAGACAACACUACCCUUCUCUUUCUCUCUCCUUGUUUGGAUGCCAAGAAAAUCCAUACCACUAGAA
rnacentral:misc_RNA from 1 species